GCGUCGCAUUAGCUAGUUGGUGAGGUAACGGCUCACCAAGGCAACGAUGCGUAGCCGACCUGAGAGGGUGAUCGGCCACACUGGGACUGAGACACGGCCCAGACUCCUACGGGAGGCAGCAGUAGGGAAUCUUCCGCAAUGGACGAAAGUCUGACGGAGCAACGCCGCGUGAGUGAUGAAGGCUUUCGGGUCGUAAAACUCUGUUGUUAGGGAAGAUCAUGUGCUAGUUGAAUAAGCUGGCACCUUGACGGUACCUAACCAGAAAGCCACGGCUAACUACGUGCCAGCAGCCGCGGUAAUACGUAGGUGGCAAGCGUUAUCCGGAAUUAUUGGGCGUAAAGCGCGCGCAGGUGGUUUCUUAAGUCUGAUGUGAAAGCCCACGGCUCAACCGUGGAGGGUCAUUGGAAACUGGGAGACUUGAGUGCAGAAGAGGAAAGUGGAAUUCCAUGUGUAGCGGUGAAAUGCGUAGAGAUAUGGAGGAACACCAGUGGCGAAGGUAACUGACAGUGAGGCGCGAAAGCGUGGGGAGCAAACAGGAUUAGAUACCCUGGUAGUUCACGCCGUAAACGGUGAGUGCUAAGUGUUAGAGGGUUUCCGCCCUUUAGUGGUGAAGUUAACGCCUUAAGCACUCCGCCUGGGGAGUACGGCCGCAAGGCUGAAACUCAAAGGAAUUGACGGGGGCCCGCACCAGCGGUGGAGCCUGUGGUUUAAUUUGAAGCAACGCGAAGAACCUUACCAGGUCUUGACAUCCUUUGACAACCCUAGAGAUAGGGCUUUUCCUUCGGGAGCAGAGUGACCGGUGGUGCAUGGUUGUUGUCAGCUCGUGUUGUGAGAUGUUGGGUUAAGUCCCGCAACGAGCGCAACCCUUGAUUUUAGUUGCCAUCAUUUAGUUGGGCACUUUAAGGUGACUGCCGGUGACAAACCGGAGGAAGGUGGGGAUGACGUCAAAUCAUCAUGCCCCUUAUGACCUGGGCUACACACGUGCUACAAUGGACGGUACAAAGAGCUGCAAGACCGCGAGGUGGAGCUAAUUUCAUAAAACCGUUUUCAGUUUGGAUUGUAGGCUGCAACUUGCCUACAUGAAGCUGGAAUCGCUUGUAAUCGCGGAUCAGCAUGCCGCGGUGAAUA
rnacentral:rRNA from 1 species